rnacentral:SRP_RNA from 1 species
GCCAGGUGCAGUGGCCCAUGCCUGUAGUCCCAGCUACACGGGAGGCUGAGGUGGGAGGAUCGCUUGAGCCCAGGAGUUCUGGGCUGUAGUGCACUAUGCCGAUCGGGUGUCCGCACUAAGUUCGGCAUCAGUAUGAUGACCUCCCAGGAGCGGGAGACCACCAUGUUGCCUAAAGAGCGGUGAACUGGCCCAGGUUGGAAACGGAGCAGGUCAAAACUCCCAUGCUGAUCAGUAGUGGGAUCGGGCCUGUGAAUAGCCACUGCACUCCAGCCUGGGCAACAUAGCGAGACCCUGUCUCU